rnacentral:lncRNA from 10 species
CCUGACCUGACCGUGCACUGUCAGCCUGUCUGUGGCCUUCCUUCCGGAAGUUUCUUUAUGCGUCUGCCCAUGGACGGCAGGUGGGAGCGCGGACACCUGUCGCCCUCUCGGCCGCUCUGGGACCUGCCCUUUCUUUGAAACGCUGUGUCCAGGGCAUGACCCCCAUAGAGACGUGGGCCUGGGUGGAGGCUGCAGCUUAAGAGGAAGCUCUCGGCGUCGGGGCCUGUGCCCUGCCGGCCGCCCUGACCUUGGAGGAAGCGGGCGCUGACACACUGUGGGCGACAGGAAGGGCCGGGAGCUCUGUGGCCGUUGGCAAGGCCAGGAACCCGGGUAGUCGAGCUGAAACUGUGAUCUGAGGCGCGAGGCCUCCGUGGGAGAAGGGUCGCUUCAGACGGGGACCGAGGGCCUGGCUCUGGGAAGGUGGGUCCUGCUCCCUUCUGAGGCAGGCAGAGCUGCAGGGAAAGCAGGUGUGUGGAGGCCCCUCCAGAGCCAGGCUCCAGGCGCUUCAGGUACGGCGCCCGUUCUGCUCCCUUCCCAGGCCUGCCCAGCUGCCCACCGCACGAAGCUUCACAACUGAGCGAGCAGCUCCUCACGGAAGGUUAGAUUCGGCGCGUUACGUCAUUACGUUCAGUGAAAGAACUGAGUGAGCAGCUCCUCACGGAAGGUCGAAGCCGCUGGUCUCAGCUGUGUUUUCACCGGUU